rnacentral:rRNA from 1 species
AUUCCAGCUCCAAUAGCGUAUAUUAAAGUUGUUGCGGUUAAAAAGCUCGUAGUUGGAUUUCUGCUGAGGACGACCGGUCCGCCCUCCGGGUGAGCAUCUGGUUCGGCCUUGGCAUCUUCUUGGUGAACGUAUCUGCACUUGACUGUGUGGUGCGGUACCCAGGACUUUUACUUUGAGGAAAUUAGAGUGUUUCAAGCAGGCAUACGCCUUGAAUACAUUAGCAUGGAAUAAUAAGAUAGGACCUCGGUUCUAUUUUGUUGGUUUGCGCACCAAAGUAAUGAUUAAUAGGGACAGUUGGGGGUAUUCGUAUUCCGUUGUCAGAGGUGAAAUUCUUGGAUUUACGGGAGACGAACUACUGCGAAAGCAUUUACCAAGGAUGUUUUCAUUG